rnacentral:rRNA from 1 species
GUGUCAGCAGCCGCGGUAAUACGUAGGUGGCAAGCGUUGUCCGGAAUUAUUGGGCGUAAAGGAUGCGUAGGCGGCUCUUUAAGUGGGAUGUGAAAUCCCCAGGCUUAACCUGGGAGUGGCAUUCCAAACUGGAGAGCUAGAGUGCAGGAGAGGAAAGUGGAAUUCCCAGUGUAGCGGUGAAAUGCGUAGAGAUUGGGAGGAACACCAGUGGCGAAGGCGACUUUCUGGACUGUAACUGACGCUGAGGCAUGAAAGCGUGGGGAGCAAACAGGAUUAGAUACCCUGGUAGUCCACGCUGUAAACGAUGAGUACUAGGUGUAGGGGCUUACCUGCCUCUGUGCCGCAGUUAACACAUUAAGUACUCCGCCUGGGAAGUACGAUCGCAAGAUUAAA